rnacentral:rRNA from 1 species
UUUGAUCAUGUCAGAUUGAACGCUGGCGGGAUGCUUUACACAUGCAAAGUCGAACGGCAGCACGGACUUCGGUCUGGUGGCGAGUGGCGAACGGUGAAAUGUGUAUCGGAACGUGCCUAGUAGCGGGGAUAACUACGCGAAAGCGUAGCUAAUACCGCAUACGCUGUCGGGGAAAGCAGGGCGCUGGCCUCUUUUUUCAGUAAACUUGUGAUCGAUAUCGGAUUAGCUGAGUUGGUGGGGUAACGGCUCACCAAGGCGGUGAUCCGUAGCUGGUUUGAGAGGACGGCCAGCCACACUGGGACUGAGACACGGCCCAGACUCCUGAGGCAGCAGUGGGGAAUUUUUGGACAAUGGGGGAAACCCUGAUCCAGCCAUCCCGCGUGUGCGAUGAAGGCCUUCAGGUUACGAAAGCACUUUUGGCAGGAAAGAAUCGGCACGGGAUAAUACCCGUCACAACCUGACAGUACCUGCAGAAUAAGCACCGGUAACUACGUGCCAGCAGCCGCGGUAAUACGUAGGGUGCAAGCGUUAAUCGGAAUUACUGGGCGUAAAGCGUGCGCAGGCGGUUCGGAAAGAAAGAUGUGAAAUCCCAGAGCUUAACUUUGGAACUGCAUUUUUAACUACCGAGCUAGAGUGUGUCAGGAGGUGGAAUUCCGCGUGUAGCAGUGAAAUGCGUAGAUAUGCGGAGGAACACCGAUGGCAGAAGGCAGCCUCCUGGGAUAACACUGACGCUCAUGCACGAAAGCGUGAAGACAGAAACAGGAUUAGAUACCCUGGUAGUCCGCCUAAACGAUGUCCAACUAGCUGUUGGGGCCUUCAGACGCCAGUAGCGCAGCUAACGCUGAAGUUGACCGCCUGGGAAGUACGGUCACAUAGAUUAAAACUCAAAGGAAUUGACGGGGACCCGCACAAGCGGUGGAUGAUGUGGAUUGAAUUCGAUGCAACACGAAAACCUUACCCUUGACAUGUCUGGAAUCCCGAAGAGAUUUGGGAGUGCUCGCAAGAGAACCGGAACACAGGUGCUGCAUGGCUGUCGUCAGCUCGUGUCGUGAGAUGUUGGGUUAAGUCCCGCAACGAGCGCAACCCUUGUCAUUAGUUGCUACGAAAGGGCACUCUAAUGAGACUGCCGGUGACAAACCGGAGGAAGGUGGGGAUGACGUCAAGUCCUCAUGGCCCUUAUGGGUAGGGCUUCACACGUCAUACAAUGGUCGGGACAGAGGGGUCGCCAACCCGCGAGGGGGAGCCAAUCGAGGAAACCCGAUCGUAGUCCGGAUCACCAGUCUGCAACUCGACUACGUGAAGUCGGAAUCGCUGGUAAUCGCGGAUCAGCAUGUCGCGGUGAAUACGUUCGGGUCUUGUACACACCGCCCGUCACCAUGGGAGUGGGUUUUACCAGAAGUAGUUAGCCUAACCGUAAGGAGAAUUACCACGGUAGGAUUCAUGACUGGGGGUGAAGUCUGUAAAGAUAG